AAGUCGUAACAAGGUUUCCGUAGGUGAACCUGCGGAAGGAUCAUUACUGGGUCUGGGCCUCGCGCCCGCUACCCGUCCUUUGUCAUGAGACGCGAAAGCAACUCACAUCGCUUCGGCCCCGGGCGAUACCCCGCCAUUCAGCUGGUGGGUGGGUCCCGCGGCCGGCCUUACAAACCUACGCGGAAUUUUGAAGUCUGAACAAAAAGAAAAACGAAAAGCAAAACUUUCAACAACGGAUCUCUUGGUUCUG
rnacentral:misc_RNA from 1 species